UACGGAGGGUGCAAGCGUUUAUCCGGAUUCACUGGGUUUAAAGGGUGCGUAGGUGGGUAGGAAAGUCAGUGGUGAAAUCUUCGGGCUUAACCCGGAACUGCCGUUGAUACUAUUUAUCUUGAAUACUCUGGAGGUAAGCGGAAUAUGUCAUGUAGCGGUGAAAUGCUUAGAUAUGACAUAGAACACCAAUUGCGAAGGCAGCUUACUACAUAGUUAUUGACACUGAGGCACGAAAGCGUGGGGAUCAAACCAGGAU
rnacentral:rRNA from 1 species